rnacentral:rRNA from 1 species
UACGUAGGGGCAAGCGUUGUCCGGAAUUAUUGGGCGUAAAGCGCGCGCAGGCGGUCUCUUAAGUCUGAUGUGAAAUCUCGCAGCUUAACUGUGAGCGGUCAUUGGAAACUGAGGAACUUGAGGACAGGUGAGGAGAGUGGAAUUCCACGUGUAGCGGUGAAAUGCGUAGAGAUGUGGAGGAACACCAGUGGCGAAGUCGACUCUCUAGUCUGUAUCUGACGCUGAGGUGCAAAAGCGUGGGUAGCAAACA